rnacentral:rRNA from 1 species
AGCUAUGUGUGGACGGGAUAAGUGCUGAAAGCAUCUAAGCAUGAAGCCCCCCUCAAGAUGAGAUUUCCCAUUACGCAAGUAAGUAAGAUCCCUCAAAGACGAUGAGGUAGAUAGGUUCGAGGUGGAAGUGUGGUGACACAUGGAGCUGACGAAUACUAAUCGAUCGAGGACUUAACCA